rnacentral:rRNA from 1 species
CAACUGAAGGGUUUGAUCCUGGCUCAGAACGUACGCUAGCGGUGUGGAUUAGGCAUGCAAGUCGUGCGCGAAAGCCUUCGGGCGAGUAAAGCGGCGAAAGGGUGAGUAACACGUAACCAACGUACCCCUCAGAUCGGAAUAACCUCUGGAAACGGUGGGUAAUGCCGAAUGGUCCCUGGAACGACAUCGUUCCAAGGGUAAACGGUGCCUUCGGGUGCUGCUGAGGGAGCGGGUUGCGGCCUAUCAGCUUGUUGGUGGGGUAACGGCCUACCAAGGCGAUGACGGGUAGCGGGUCUGAGAGGAUGAUCCGUCACACUGGGACUGAGACACUGCCCAGACUCCUACGGGAGGCUGCAGUCGAGAAUCUUCCACAAUGGGCGAAAGCCUGAUGGAGCGACACCGCGUGCAGGAUGAAGGCCUUAGGGUUGUAAACUGCUGUCACGCUAUAGGAACCCACGGUCGUUAAUAGCUUCCGUGCUGACCAAAGCGAGAGGAAGCGCCGGCUAACUCCGUGCCAGCAGCCGCGGUAAUACGGAGGGCGCAAGCGUAGUUCGGAUUUACUGGGCAUAAAGAGCACGUAGGCGGCUCGCUCAGUCGGGUGUGAAAGCCCACGGCCCAACCGUGGAACUGCACCCGAUACUGGCGAGCUCGAGGACGGAAGGGGUGAGUGGAACUCCAGGUGGAACGGUGAAAUGUAUAGAUAUCUGGAGGAACACCGGUGGCGAAAGCGGCUCACUGGUCCGUCUCUGACGCUGAGGUGCGAAAGCUAGGGUAGCGAACGGGAUUAGAUACCCCGGUAGUCCUAGCCGUAAACGAUGGGCACUAGGCAAUGGGCCCUCCUAUGAGGUUCAUUGCCGGAGCUAAUGUGUUAAGUGCCCCGCCUGGGGAGUACGCUCGCAAGGGUAAAACUCAAAGGAAUUGACGGGGGAUCACACAAGCGGUGGAGCAUGUUGUUUAAUUCGAAGCAACGCGAAGAACCUUACCAGGCCUUGACAUGUACGGAUUAGCCGCGUGAAAGCGUGGUGACAGCUCUUCGGAGUUGGAACGUACACAGGUGUUGCAUGGCUGUCGUCAGCUCGUGCCGUGAGGUGUUGGGUUAAGUCCCGUAACGAGCGAAACCCUUAUCGUUAGUUGCCAGCGGGUUAUGCCGGGGACUCUAGCGAGACUGCCGUUGUCAAAACGGAGGAAGGUGGGGACGACGUCAAGUCAUCAUGGCCCUUAUGGCCUGGGCUACAAACGUGCUACAAUGGUCCAUACAAUGGGUUCCGAAGCCGCGAGGUGUAGGCAAUCCCAUCAAAGUGGGCCCCAGUUCGGAUUGCAGGCUGAAAUUCGCCUGCAUGAAGCCGGAAUCGCUAGUAAUCGCGUAUCAGCCAUGACGCGGUGAAUAUGUUCCUGAUCCUUGUACACACCGCCCGUCAAGCCACGGGAGCGGGUAGCGCUCGAAGUCGUUUUGUCUAACCUUCGGGAGGACGACGCCGAAAGCGAGAUCCGUGACUGGGACUAAGUCGUAACAAGGUAGCCGUAGGGGAACCUGCGGCUGGAUCACCUCCUUU